GGUGUGAGGGAAGGGUUUGGGUGGGAACGCGUCUGGCAGCCGGGUGUGCAAAUCCAGUGUGCCAAGUGCCCAGCGGUAGGGCAGCGAUAGGGAGACCUGGAAGCUACACCUCUGAAACUGUGUCAGUGUUGGUUGUCUUCAGGGGACAAAAACUGUCCCAGAGGUGGCUGUCCUGUCCACGUGAUGCUGUGUAGAGAGAUGCAGCCUCAAUCUUUGCUUCGAUGUAGUGGUUCUCACGCAGCACAGCCCUAAAAUAACCACCUUUCACAGCCCUGCUUCCCUCUACCUGUGAACACGAGUCACACUUGUACAGCAGAGGAUUUAAUCGGGGAUCAGGUGAUGAGAAUCAGGGCUGCAGGAAAGGAUUUACCUUUGCCGCGCUGGCAGCCUGGCCUCUCCUUUGGAGAGCAGGUGCCCACAUACGGCCUAUUUCACUUCCUUCAAAUAAUUAAUUAUUUUCUCCUGUACGUGGUCCCUGGAGGAAGAAGUCUAAGCGCCUCCCUCACACUGUCAUCCUCUAUUUCCAGUGAUCAGAGCACUUGCUCUGGAGGUGUGGGUCCUGGUCCUUUUCCCAGAACUUUGUGUUUUGUUCUCUGAGAGAUGUUCAAGGUAAAGUAUAUAGACACACUUUGAAAAGGAGACUGUUCCUCUCCCUUCCCUAUGGCAAUGUUAUUAUUGCUAGGUCAUGGCCUCUCCUUGAUUGCACCCGUGAAUCCUGAAUCCCCACCCUCUCCCCCAGGCAUCAGUACGGGUUCAACAGGCUGGUUGAAAAUGGAGUGCGUGUUAGGCUAGCCUACCUCCCUGGUAAGAUAUUCUUCUGGAAGGUCAGAGGGAGGCAUCUGAACCCUGUCAGGCAGAACGAGGAGAAGCUGACCUUGUGUCUCCUGGUGUGGGGGGCACUGCAAGGCACACAGGGGAAAGUCUGUCUCCCCACAGGAAUUCAGAAAGGGUUCAAAGGGGCUGGUGAAGUGUUAAGCAAAAGCAGUCAGCGGCUUAGCACAUGGUGGGGAAGUCGAUUAUAAGCACUUGCAGCUGGUUCUCUCUCUCACACCCUGGAGGAACUGGGUGACUGCUGACUCAGGAGCUGCAUCAAGUCAGAGGAAUGGGAGGGCGGUCAUAUUUCUUGAGUGCCUGUGACACACUGCAAAACGAUGGGAUAGCAAUGGGCACCUUCUACUUGCUGUCCCGUCUUGGAAGAGUGAUCACAGCAGCGUGCUGUGAGAAGCUGGAGCCCAUUGAUUACUGGAUGUUUCAAUCUGCUGAAAAGAAGGGGCUGUCCCUGAACCAAUGAAACAAUAAGAAGGAAAGGAGAGUGACAAGCUGUGGGGCAAUCUUUGCUCUCAGGGCCUGGGCACUUUCCUUUCACUGGUUCAGCAGAGAUCAAAAAGAAGAGGCUGAGUCUGAGAAGUUAACCAUGCAUGGUUCAAGCCACCUGGCAAUGAGCUCUGCAGGCAUAGGAGGCAGCCUUUCUCCCUUUAUCGUGAACCUGAGAGCAGUAUAACCAUCUGGCUAGUUAUAAUUUAACAGAAACCCCGUUUUUCAUCUUGCUAUGGUGGUGUGCUUUCUUUUAAAUGUCAUCUGUAGAGUCUCCCAGUGAGUGGAGAAGUUUUGCUUUGUAUUUCUUCCAGUUAUUGACAAAAACUAGUCCACUAGAUUACCAUAAACCUAGCCAUAUUCUUUCUUAGAGGCAUGAGCAAGCUGAAAAGAGUUUGCAGUAACUUUUAUACUUCAAUCAAAAUAUUUUUCAGUAUAUAUUUGUCGUUUUUAACCAGUAGACUGAUUGACUGGUUAUUUUAUAAAUGUUGAAAUCUUACAAUUUUAGAGGAGUUAUUAAGCAAGUAAAUUAAUCUUCAGCUUUCACGUGGCACUGAAGCUUGUUCUUCACUGUUGUGCUUUCCAUCAUUCUUUAAACCCUUGGUAAUCGAUAGUGGUAAUUUCAAAUAAGUUCAGAUCUUUGUUCAAAAUAAACUGAGCAUGCAUGCAUCUUCUGAAUCAGCACCUUAACAUGACCUCUUCUGUCUGCUCAAAUUAUUAGCAUCAAAAUAAAGUUCUUCACACAAAAUGAAGCCAUUUGAAUGAAUACAUAAUAAGGAUUAAAACAAAUACCAUGAGGAGUAAUUGCUGUCUUCGAUUAACUUUCAUCCAGUCCAUAUAUCUUAGCCAUUGGAAAAUCUUAAAUAAAAUCUUCUUUAAAGUCCUUUCAAACUUUUUUGAGAGUAGUUGUCAGUUUAGGCAUGUAUCCCAACUUUAACUUGUACAUAUGGUAAAAAUAUUACUUGCCCAUAGAUGGCAAUAGCAUUACAUUGCUGAAUUAGCCUAUGAAAUGAGGGUGUGAUGGUGGUGAACAUUAACCUUGGGAAUGGAAAAAAAAUA